AUUGAACGCUGGCGGCAGGCCUAACACAUGCAAGUCGAGCGGAUGAAGGGAGCUUGCUCCUGGAUUCAGCGGCGGACGGGUGAGUAAUGCCUAGGAAUCUGCCUGGUAGUGGGGGAUAACGUCCGGAAACGGGCGCUAAUACCGCAUACGUCCUGAGGGAGAAAGUGGGGGAUCUUCGGACCUCACGCUAUCAGAUGAGCCUAGGUCGGAUUAGCUAGUUGGUGGGGUAAAGGCCUACCAAGGCGACGAUCCGUAACUGGUCUGAGAGGAUGAUCAGUCACACUGGAACUGAGACACGGUCCAGACUCCUACGGGAGGCAGCAGUGGGGAAUAUUGGACAAUGGGCGAAAGCCUGAUCCAGCCAUGCCGCGUGUGUGAAGAAGGUCUUCGGAUUAUAAAGCACUUUAAGUUGGGAGGAAGGGCAGUAAGUUAAUACCUUGCUGUUUUGACGUUACCAACAGAAUAAGCACCGGCUAACUCCGUG
rnacentral:rRNA from 1 species